rnacentral:tRNA from 1 species
GCCGGUGUAGCUCAAUCGGUAGAGCAACUGAUUUGUAAUCAGUAGGUUGCUGGUUCGAUUCCGGUCACCGGCUCCA